AGCACUUCCGGGAGCCUGGGGCCCAGGACUGCAGCGGCUUCGGAAGGUGGGCUCUGCCAGCGGGACCAUGCUGCUCCGAGCCGCUUGGAGGCGGGCGGCAGUGGCGGUGACAGCGGCUCCAGGGCCGAAGCCCGCGGCGCCCACUCGGGGGCUGCGCCUGCGCGUUGGAGACCAUGCUCCUCAGUCUGCGGUUCCCGCAGAUACAGCCGCUGUCCCGGAGGCGGGGCCCGUGCUGCGACCUCUCUAUAUGGAUGUGCAAGCUACAACUCCUCUGGACCCCCGGGUGCUUGAUGCCAUGCUCCCUUACCUAAUCAACUACUAUGGGAACCCACACUCCCGGACACAUGCUUAUGGCUGGGAGAGUGAGGCAGCCAUGGAACGUGCUCGUCAGCAAGUAGCAUCUCUGAUUGGAGCUGAUCCUCGUGAGAUCAUUUUUACUAGUGGUGCUACUGAAUCCAACAACAUAGCAAUUAAGGUUCAAGCGAUUCUCCUGCCUCAUCCUCCUGAGUAGCCAGGAUUACAGGGGGUGGCCCGAUUCUACAGGUCACGGAAAAAGCACUUGA
rnacentral:sRNA from 1 species